rnacentral:rRNA from 1 species
GUAUAAGACAGGCACCGAAGGCGCGGGAUAGCAAAUAAUAAAAGUAUCGGUAGGGGAGCAUUCCAUCGGCGUAGAAUGCAGUAGGUGACUACUGCUGGAGCCUAUGGAAAAGCAAAUGUAGGUAUAAGUAACGAUUAGGAGGGCGAGAACCCCUCCCGCCGAACAACUAAGGUUUCCCAGGCAAUGCCAUUCAUCCUGGGGUCAGUCGGGUCCUAAGGCUAAGCCGAGCGGCGAGGCCGAUGGCAGGCACGGUCAACAUUCCGUGACUACCGCCAUCAGUGAUGUCCAGACGGAGCAGUGACACCUCCGCGCCCUGACGGAAUAGGGCGUUGAAGGGCGUAGGCUAUGAUGAUGCCAGGCAAAUCCGGCAUCAGAGCUGAAACCUGAAAGUACGGGGUCCCCUUCGGGGGAACCUGAGAGCGAGGGUAAUCAUACUCCCGAGAAAAUGGGCUAAACUCAUGUUGGCGGUACCCGUACCGCAAACCGACACAGGUAGUUGGGUAGAACAUACUAAGGCGUUGAGAGAUUCAUGGCUAAGGAACUAGGCAAACUGACCCCGUAACUUCGGGAUAAGGGGUCCUCACCUCCGGGUGAGGCGCAGAGAAUAGGUCCAGGCAACUGUUUAACAAAAACACAGGGCUGUGCGAACUCGAAAGAUGAAGUAUACAGCCUGACACCUGCCCGGUGCCGGAAGGUUAAGAGGAGAUGUCACCGCAAGGGAAGCAUUGAAUUGAAGCCCCGGUAAACGGCGGCCGUAACAAUAACGGUCCUAAGGUAGCGAAAUUCCUUGUCGGGUAAGUUCCGACCUGCACGAAUGGUGUAAUGAUCCGGACGCUGUCUCGGCCAUGAGCUCAGUGAAAUUGUAGUAUCGGUGAAGAUGCCGAUUACCCGCGAUGGGACGAAAAGACCCCGUGAACCUUUACUACAGCUUAGCAUUGACCUUGGUCAUCCGAUGUGUAGGAUAGGCCGGAGGCUUCGAAGCGGCGUCGCCAGGCGUUGUGGAGCCAUCCUUGAAAUACGGCCCUUUGGCUGUCUGAGGUCUAACGCGGAUAGUCGCGGACACUGCUUGGUGGGUAGUUUGACUGGGGUGGUCGCCUCCAAAAGCGUAACGGAGGCUUCCAAAGGUGCCCUCGGGCCGUUUGGUAAGCGGCCUUCAAGAGUGCAAUGGCAAAAGGGCGCUUGACUGGGAGGGAGACAUCCCGAGCAGGCAGGAAACUGGGGCAUAGUGAUCCGGCGGAUGUGUAUGGAAACUCCGUCGCUCAAAGGAUAAAAGGUACUCCGGGGAUAACAGGCUGAUUCCCCCCAAGAGCUCAUAUCGACGGGGUGGUUUGGCACCUCGGUGUCGGCUCGUCACAUCCUGGGGCUGGAGAAGGUCCCAAGGGUUGGGCUGUUCGCCCAUUAAAGUGGCACGCGAGCUGGGUUCAGAACGUCGUGAGACAGUUCGGUCUCUAUCUAUCGUGGGCGCAGGAGUUUUGAGUGGUGCUGUCACUAGUACGAGAGGACCGUGACGGACAGACCUCCGGUGUACCGGUUGUGCCGCCAGGCGCACCGCCGGGUAUCCGCGUCUGGAUCGGAUAAGCGCUGAAAGCAUCUAAGUGCGAAGCUUUCCACGAGAUUAGAACUCCAUUGAGGGUCGUCGCAGACGACGACGUUGAUAGGGCGCAGGUGUAAAGACGGCGACGUCAAAGCCGAGCGCUACUAAUUGCCC